rnacentral:lncRNA from 1 species
UUGGAGGUGCCACGGUAGUGAACCCAAGAUCCCCAAGCAGAGGAAUAAGGUUCGCCGAUGUUGUAAGGCAGAUCCUUGAGUCCCGUUCCAGAUCCGCCGACGACGCCUUUCAAAAACUUGAACAUCCUCUUAACUUCCGAUUAAACGUACGGAUCUCCCAUCGAGGAAAGAGGGAGAGGGGCCGGCAAAAGAGCGAGGAUUGAUAUGCUGGUUUUUGGAGAGAUUUUGUGCCGCGAAGGAACUGAAAAAGUGGAACCGAUGUGGUAAGGCAGAUCCUUGAGUCCCGUUCCAGAUCCGCCGACGACGCCUUUCAAAAACUUGAACAUCCUCUUAACUUCCAAUUAAACGCACCGAUCUCCGAUCGAGGAAAGAGGGAGACGGGGCCGGUAAACGAGCGAGGAUUUAUUUGCUGGUUUUUGGAGAGUUAUUUUGUGCAGCGAAGGAACUGGAAAAGUGAAACUG